CUCUUCCGACCUGGAGAAGCCAAGCAGGUACAACAUCUCCUGAAAAUCUACUUGGAAUAAUCCAUCUAAAUAUCACACAAAUUGUAAGUAGGGCAAGGAAAUGAGUUAGGUUAUCUUUUGUUUUAGCUUGUGAAUUUUCCUGUGCUACAGAGAUGGUUUUAUUCCUGUUUUUGUAACUGUGAAGCUGAACCCAAUGGGGAAUCCUCUGUGUUUUAAAUCUUAUUAC